UUUUUAGCGUAAUCACUAUGAGGCAGUAAAUAGAAUAUGCUAUAUAUUUUUAAAUGUCACCGUGGAAUUUCCAGUCACCUUGUAUUAAUUUUGACUCACAUUUUUAUAUUUUUAUGCAUGCACACACAAUAUUUAACUUUCCAAGUCCCUUCUCUGUAAAGGACUUGAGGUCUAGGAAGUGCUAAAUUUCAUUACCUAUCCUCUCUAUUCUCUUCCUUCAAGUUCCUGAGAUGACAGUGAAUGCUGUGUUAUCCUGCUGUAUCAGUUACCUAUUUUCAUACAAAUACUUCAAUCCCAAAACACACUGGCUGGAAACAACAAACAUGUAAUUAGUCUGGAUGUUCUCAUGGCAAUGGCAGAGGAGCAAAGGCCAAAUGGAAACAUGCAAGAGUUCUUAAGUCCCAGGCCUGGAAGUGACAGCAAAUCAUUUCCCUGCACUCUACUGGACAAAGCUACAACAUCAACCUAGAUUCAGUGAAUAGGGAAAUUACUCCAUGAUAUAGUUUGGAUAUCUGUGUCUCCAUCACAUCUCAUGUUGACAUGUAAUCCCUAGUGAUGAAGGUGGGGAGGUGUUUCGAUCCUGGGGGUGUAUCCCUCAUGAAUGGCUUAGCGCCAUCCCCUUGGUGAUAAGUGAGUUCUCAUGAGAUCUGAUUGUUUAAAAGUGUGUGGCACCUCCCCCAACUCUCUCUCUCUCUCUCUCUCUCACUUGCUCGCUCUGGCCAUGUGACGUGCCUGCUCCCGCUUCACCUUCUGCCAUGAGUAAAAUCUCCCUGAAGCCUCCCCAGAAGCCAAACAAAUGUCAACAACAUGCUUGUACAACGCAGAACCAUGAGCCAAUUAAACCUCUUUUCUUAUAAAUUA